rnacentral:sRNA from 1 species
AAAAUUCAAGAUAUUUAUUUAGUUGGAGUAAUUGUUAAUUUACAAAAUUACCCAUGCAAAAAAAUCAUUUACUUAGUUUUAAACUACCCUUACAAUGUUGUAGUUCACACAAUGCUUCCCAAUUAAUAGUAUAAAUACUU